GACGAACGCUGGCGGCGUGCUUAACACAUGCAAGUCGAACGGAAAGGCCUGCUUUCCCUUGUGGAUUGCGGGUACUCGAGUGGCGAACGGGUGAGUAACACGUGAGUGAUCUGCCCCCAACUUGGGUAUAAGCCUGGGAAACUGGGUCUAAUUCCCGAUAGGACUGCAGGGUGGUGCCUGUGGUGGAAAACGAUUUUCUAGUGGUUGGGGAUGAGCUCGCGGCCUAUCAGCUUGUUGGUGGGGUAAUGGCCUACCAAGGCGGCGACGGGUAGCCGGCCUGGGAGGGUGGACGGCCACAUUGGGACUGAGAUACGGCCCAGACUCCUACGGGAGGCAGCAGUGGGGAAUAUUGCACAAUGGGCGGAAGCCUGAUGCAGCGACACCGCGUGGGGGAUGACGGCCUUCGGGUUGUAAACUCCUUUCGACCGCGAGGAAGCCACCUGGUUGGAAGGGUGGUGACGGUAGUGGUAGAAGAAGCACCGGCUAACUACGUG
rnacentral:rRNA from 1 species